UGCGGUUGCGCAGCGAGUGCAGCCCCAGCUUGUCCGUUAUCUCGGCCGCGUUCAUAGCGUUUGGCAGAUCCUGGAGAACGCAAAACAUCAGUAAACAAAUUCUUACAAGAUAUUGUUGACUUCCCAACAAACACCCGAUGACAGACAGUUAGACACCGCCAAGUAAUGAUUGUGGUGACUGAUUUACGUUCAUAACGUACCCAACGUCCUUAACUGGGUACAAAGAAACAUAAAAUUUGUCUAAAACACUAUUCCAGAUCCCAACAGGUUCCUAAGACUAUUAGCGGCACUUCGCUUUGAGUUUGCACACU